UGCUCACUCUUGUCAUAGGGUGCCAAGGGUCCCUAAAGAGAGCUGAAAUAGCAUCCAGUAGAGGCUAGGACCCCCUGGGAGGAACCACAUCCAUCUGCAGUGGACAGGCACUGCCCAUGCUGAGGGCUCCCUCCCUCCAGGAACCCCUUUACCCCACUGGGAGGUUGAGAGCCCCUGACUCCAGGCAAUGCCUGAAGGCUCCCUUGGGAAUCAUGAGUUGGGUAGGGGAGCUCCUCUGGGCCCACACACAGACCUGUUGGAGGACCUCGGGGCUGAGCCACGGCAGAACCUUGAUGCUGUACUUGGGAAAAUCGUGGACCACUCGCUGCCGCUGCCCGUGGCUUAUCAUGCUGAGGUUGCUGCGCAAACCAGACAGGUAGACCUUCCCAUCCACAGAGAUCAGGAUGUGGCUGGCUUUGACACUCCUGGGGAAGCGGGGAGGGUGUCAUGGAGAGCAGGAGCCCCUCCUGCUACAAAUUUUUGGUCUUCACACACUCCACCUGGCCAGCUCUCUCCUGUGUGCGUGUGUUAUACAUGUAUAUAUGUAUUUUACAUACACAUAACCAUGUUUUUGUUUUUAUUGAGAUAGAGUCUCACUCUGUCACCAGGCUAGAGUGCAGUGGCUCAAUCUAGGCUCACUGCAACCUCUGCCUCCUGGGUUCAAGCAAUUCCUGUGCCUCAGCCAUCCAAGUAGCUGGGAUUACAGGUGUGCACCACCACACCCAGCUAAUUUUUUUCUGUUUUCUUUUUUUUUGAGACGGAGUCUUGCUCUGUCGCACAGGCUGGAGUGUAGUGGCGCCAUCUCGGCUUACUGCAAGCUCCGCCUCCCGGGUUCACACCAUUCUCCUGCCUCAGCCUCCCGAGUAGCUGGGACUACAGGCGCCCACCACGACGCCUGGCUAAUUUUUUUUUUUUUUUUUGUAUUUUUAGUGGAGACAGGGUUUCACUGUGUUAGCCAGGAUGGUCUCGAUCUCCUGACCUCGUGAUCCACCCGUCUCGGCCUCCCAAAGUGCUAAGAUUACAGGCGUGAACCACUGCGCUGGGCCUGCCCAGCUAAUUUUUAUAUUUUUAGUAGAGAUGGGGUUUUGCCAUGUUGGCCAUGCCGGUCUUGAACUCCUGGCUUUAAAUGAUCCGCCUGCUUUGGCCUCCCAAAGUGCUGGGAUUACAGGUGUGAGUCACCGUGACUGGCCUAUAACCAGGUUUUUUGUUGUUGUUGUUGUUGUUGUUGUUGAGACAGAGUCCCACUCUGUGGCUCAGGCUGGAGUGCAGUGGCACAAUCUCAGUUCACUGCAACCUCUGCCUCCCAGGUUCAAGCAAUUCUCCUGCCUCAGUCUCCUGAGCAGCUGGGACUACAGGCACAUGCCACCACAUCCAGCCAGUUUUUGUAUUUUUAGUAGAGACAGGGUUUCACCAUGUUAGCCAGGCUGGUCUUGAACUCCUGACCUCAAGAGAUCCACCCCUUGGCCUCCCAAAGUGCUGCCACUGCAUCCAGCUAUAACUAUGUUUUAAUGAAAAACUUCAAAUCUACAUAAAAUAGCAUGACUCCAUUUACAUAUCACCAGAUUAAAAGCUUAUUUAGCUCUGUCACCAGGCUGGAGUGCAAUGGCACCAUCUCGGCUCACUGCAGCCUCCACCUCCCAGGUUCAAGUGAUUCUCCUGCCUCAGCCUCCCGAGUAGCUGGGAUUACAGGCACCUGCCACCAUGCCUGGCUAAUUUUUGUAUGUUUAGUAGAGACAGGGUUUUGCCAUGUUGGCCAGGCUGGUCUCGAACUCCUGACCUCAGGUGAUCCACCCACCUUGGCCUCCCAGAGUGCUGGGACUGUUAAGUGCUCCUGUAUGCUCUAGACCACCUCUUGCCCUACCUCCUACGAAUGCUUUUAAUCUGUACUUUUUAUUUGUAGGACUCUUCUAAAGCGUACCUAGGGGUACUGUGUUCCCCAUCCCAUUCUUCCUUUUUCACUCAGGGCUGUAGUUUCCAGACACAUCUGUGUUGCUAGCUGUGUACCUUUCAUCUUUGGUUCUAAUUGUCACCUUGGCUCUGGGAAGAGAUCUAACACUUUUACUCAUCCAUCUUUCUGGGGACAGACACUCACACCACCCCUAACCAAAACACGUGUGAAUGGUGACAUCCAAACAUGUCCCCUGAUGGGUCUGCACGAGGGUUUCUUUAGGGUGUACAUCCAGAAGUGGCAUUGAUGGUUCUGGUUCCGUGACACUGACUGGCAGCACCGGGCAUCUUCCACCACCUGGACAGAAGGCUCCCCGUCCUUGCUACAAUGGGACUCGUCCAGCCUCCCAACCGCUGCCACUCUCAUGUGUAUAAGUUCCUUCUCAGCCAACCUUUCUGACUCACUAUGGCCAGGACACCAGAAACAUGCAGCCACAAAGGAAAGAUGGCAAAAGAGCUUCUUUCCUGGAAGUUUGAUCUCUUCCCAUACUCGGCAGAAAAAAACAGAGAAGACCCACAGAAGCAAGUCUGUGCCCAUGAAUCCUCCUAACUAGUGGAUGGCCUCUGCUGUACACACAUCUGAGGCUGCUGAGAAAGCUGCAGCAGCCCCUGGAGCAGAGAGCAGGAGAGUAAGGACGGCCCCUGCACAUACCUAUCACAGUGAGCAGCUCGUAACACCCUCCCUCUGGCAGAAAGCUACUCAUGACCUCCUGUUUAGAGAAGGAUGCUAUUGACUCUGAGCUCGCAUCAUUGGUCUAAAAAAGAAAAAGAAAAAUAGGUUAGUAGAGAAAACUGGGGGUGGGAUGGGAGUGGGGUGAAGGAGGUAAUUCAGACCCACAAGGAGACUGGCAUCUAAACACACACACACAAAUCCCGACUCAGUGCCAGCACUAUUUGAAGAGAAACAAAACACCACAUUCAGUGUAGUAAUCGGCACUAAUAUCAGAGCAAGUGUUAGGGUUGUCUACAAAUGAGGAGACAAGGACCUGUUCCCGUCAAAUGUUAAUCUGCUUGUCCUUUCCAACAAUCAAUGCAUUUGCUAAAAGCUAUGAAAUUCUCACUUGGAGAAGGGAUAUCUAGAGAAUGAAAGCAUGUUUGGAAAAGAGAAGCAGGUGGAGAGGUAGGGGUUCUCGUGAAUUUCCUGAUGCAUUAGGAUCCUAUUUUUAAGGUCCUGACCACAA